GCCAGACUCCUACGGGAGGCAGCAGUGGGGAAUAUUGGGCAAUGGGCGCAAGCCUGACCCAGCAACGCCGCGUGAAGGAAGAAGGCUUUCGGGUUGUAAACUUCUUUUCUCAGGGACGAAGCAAGUGACGGUACCUGAGGAAUAAGCCACGGCUAACUACGUGCCAGCAGCCGCGGUAAUACGUAGGUGGCAAGCGUUAUCCGGAUUUACUGGGUGUAAAGGGCGUGUAGGCGGGAAAGCAAGUCAGAUGUGAAAACCAUGGGCUCAACCUGUGGCCUGCAUUUGAAACUGUUUUUCUUGGGUACUGGAGAGGCAGACGGAAUUCCUAGUGUAGCGGUGAAAUGCGUAGAUAUUAGGAGGAACACCAGUGGCGAAGGCGGCUUUCUGGACUGAAACUGACGCUGAGGCACGAAAGCGUGGGGAGCGAACAGGAUUAGAUCCCCGAGUA
rnacentral:rRNA from 1 species